rnacentral:tRNA from 1 species
GUUUCCGUGGUGUAGUGGUUAUCACGUUCGCCUCACACGCGAAAGGUUCAUGGUUUGAAACCGGGUGGAAACA